UCAGGUGGCCGCAGAGAAUAGGCCCAAGCGACUGUUUACCAAAAACAUAGGUUUCUGCUAAGUCGCAAGACGAUGUAUAGGAGCUGACGCCUGCCCGGUGCUGGAAGGUUAAGGGGAUCUGUUAGAGCAAUCGAAGCAGUGAACUUAAGCCCCAGUAAACGGCGGCCGUAACUAUAACGGUCCUAAGGUAGCGAAAUUCCUUGUCGGGUAAGUUCCGACCCGCACGAAAGGCGUAACGAUUUGGGCACUGUCUCAACAACAGACUCGGUGAAAUUGUAAUUCCGGUGAAGAUGCCGGAUACCUGCGACAGGACGGAAAGACCCCAUGGAGCUUUACUGUAGCUUGACAUUGGGUCUUGGUACUACAUGUACAGGAUAGGUGGGAGGCUUUGAAACCAGGACGCCAGUUUUGGCGGAGCCAUCCUUGGGAUACCACCCUUGUAGUACUGGGACUCUAACCAUAGGCCAUGAAUCUGGUCUUGGGACACUGUCAGGUGGGCAGUUUGACUGGGGCGGUCGCCUCCCAAAAGGUAACGGAGGCGCUCAAAGGUUCUCUCAGUACGGUCGGAAAUCGUACGUAGAGUGUAAAGGCAAAAGAGAGCUUGAUUGCAAGACAUACAGGUCGAGCAAGGAUGAAAAUCGGACUUAGUGAUCCGGUGGUUCUGCGUGGAAGGGCCAUCGCUCAACGGAUAAAAGCUACCCUGGGGAUAACAGGCUUAUCUCCCCCAAGAGUCCACAUCGACGGGGAGGUUUGGCACCUCGAUGUCGGCUCAUCACAUCCUGGGGCUGUA
rnacentral:rRNA from 1 species